GAUGAACGCUGGCGGCGUGCCUAAUACAUGCAAGUCGAGCGAACGGACGAGUAGCUUGCUUCUCUGAUGUUAGCGGCGGACGGGUGAGUAACACGUGGAUAACCUACCUAUAAGACUGGGAUAACUUCGGGAAACCGGAGCUAAUACCGGAUGAUAUUUUGAACCGCAUGGUUCAAAAGUGAAAGACGGUCUUGCUGUCACUUAUAGAUGGAUCCGCGCUGCAUUAGCUAGUUGGUAAGGUAACGGCUUACCAAGGCAACGAUGCAUAGCCGACCUGAGAGGGUGAUCGGCCACACUGGAACUGAGACACGGUCCAGACUCCUACGGGAGGCAGCAGUAGGGAAUCUUCCGCAAUGGGCGAAAGCCUGACGGAGCAACGCCGCGUGAGUGAUGAAGGUCUUCGGAUCGUAAAACUCUGUUAUUAGGGAAGAACAUAUGUGUAAGUAACUGUGCACAUCUUGACGGUACCUAAUCAGAAAGCCACGGCUAACUACGUG
rnacentral:rRNA from 1 species